GACGAACGCUGGCGGCGUGCUUAACACAUGCAAGUCGAGCGGUAAGGCCCUUCGGGGUACACGAGCGGCGAACGGGUGAGUAACACGUGGGUGACCUGCCUCUAGCUCUGGGAUAAGCCUGGGAAACUGGGUCUAAUACCGGAUAUGACUCCACGGCGCAUGUUGUGGGGUGGAAAGCCUUGUGUGGCUAGAGAUGGGCCCGCGGCCUAUCAGCUUGUUGGUGGGGUGAUGG
rnacentral:rRNA from 1 species